GGCAAUAGAAUUCAGUGGUAGAAUGUUUACCUGGCAUACAAGAGCCCUGGGUUCAAUCCCCAACACUGCCA
rnacentral:tRNA from 1 species